AUGGAAGGUCGUAAUGCUAAUACUAAAAAGAAAAAAGUUGAAGCGGAACGAGAGGGAGAGAGCAGCACAAAGAAACUGAAGGUCACCAUGGGGGUGGAGACCCUCGACUGUCCCAUCUGCUAUGAGCCCCUCAGGCCUCCGCUAUUCCAGUGCUCUGUAGGGCAUUGCAUAUGCUCAUCUUGCCGUGGGAAGCUGGACAAGAAAUGCCCUGUGUGCUCUAUCAAAACUUCCUUCAAGCGCUGCUUUGCGAUGGAACAUGUCGUCCAAGAAGCCAAAGUUGCUUGCUCCAAUGAAAAGUAUGGGUGUGCCGAGGGGGUCAUCUACUACCAGAAAGAAGAACACAAGAAGGCAUGCCUAAAUGCCCCAUGCUCCUGCGUGGAGUCCGGUUGUGGGCUUGUGGCUUCGCUGGACCAACAAAGGUGCUCCUAG
rnacentral:rRNA from 1 species